GAUGAAGAACGCAGCGAAAUGCGAUAAGUAAUGUGAAUUGCAGAAUUCAGUGAAUCAUCGAGUCUUUGAACGCACAUUGCGCCCCCUGGUAUUCCGGGGGGCAUGCCUGUCCGAGCGUCAUUGCUGCCCUCAAGCACGGCUUGUGUGUUGGGCCCCGUCCUCCGAUCCCGGGGGACGGGCCCGAAAGGCAGCGGCGGCACCGCGUCCGGUCCUCGAGCGUAUGGGGCUUUGUCACCCGCUCUGUAGGCCCGGCCGGCGCUUGCCGAUCAACCCAAAUUUUUUAUCCAGGUUGACCUCGGAUCAGGUAGGGAUACCCGCUGAACUUAAGCAUAUCAAUAAGCGGAGGA
rnacentral:misc_RNA from 1 species